rnacentral:rRNA from 1 species
CGUGCAGGCGGGCGUACAAGUCUGAUGUGAAAGCCCCGGGCUUAACCUGGGAAGUGCAUUGGAAACUGUACGUCUUGAGUUGCGGAGAGGAAGGGGGAAUUCCCGGUGUAGAGGUGAAAUUCGUAGAGAUCGGGAGGAAUACCAGUGGCGAAGGCGCCCUUCUGGACGACAACUGACGCUGAGACGCGAAAGCGUGGGGAGCAAACAGGAUUAGAUACCCUGGUAGUCCACGCUGUAAACGAUGAGCACUAGGUGUAGCGGGUAAUCAUUCCUGCUGUGCCGCAGCUAACGCGUUAAGUGCUCCGCCUGGGGAUUACGGUCGCAAGACUAAA